rnacentral:rRNA from 1 species
GAUGAACGCUAGCGGCAGGCUUAAUACAUGCAAGUCGAGGGGCAGCAGGACUGUAGCAAUACAGUUGCUGGCGACCGGCAAACGGGUGCGGAACACGUACGCAAUCUACCCAGAACUGAUGAAUAGCCCUCCGAAAGGAGGAUUAAUACAUUCGUAACAUAAUGAAGUGGCAUCACUUUAUUAUUAUAGCUCCGGCGGUUUUGGAUGAGCGUGCGCCNGAUUAGGUAGUUGGCGGGGUAACGGCCCACCAAGCCUUCCGAUCAGUAACUGGUGUGAGAGCACGACCAGUCACACGGGCACUGGAGACACGGGCCCGACU